rnacentral:rRNA from 1 species
CCUACGGGUGGCAACAGUGGGGAAUAUUGGACAAUGGGCGAAAGCCUGAUCCAGCCAUGCCGCGUGUGUGAAGAAGGCCUUCGGGUUGUAAAGCACUUUCAGUGGGGAAGAAAGCCUUGGGGCUAAUACCCUCGAGGAAGGACAUCACCCACAGAAGAAGCACCGGCUAACUCCGUGCCAGCAGCCGCGGUAAUACGGAGGGUGCGAGCGUUAAUCGGAAUUACUGGGCGUAAAGCGCGCGUAGGCGGUCUGAUAAGCCGGUUGUGAAAGCCCCGGGCUCAACCUGGGAACGGCAUCCGGAACUGUCAGGCUAGAGUGCAGGAGAGGAAGGUAGAAUUCCCGGUGUAGCGGUGAAAUGCGUAGAGAUCGGGAGGAAUACCAGUGGCGAAGGCGGCCUUCUGGACUGACACUGACGCUGAGGUGCGAAAGCGUGGGUAGCAAACAGGAUUAGAUACCCCAGUCGUC